AACUAUAAACAGCACAUUAUCAAUACAAGCUACACUCCUACACCAGUAGGAAUUAAGAUAUGAACAAGGUCAAGGAAUAAAAUGCAAUAAAGUAAACCACGUCUUUCUAAAUAUACAAAUCUAAUCUUCCAAACUGGAAAAUACAGUCAAAAACAUCAUUUACCUCUAAACUGCUUACCGUCUCUUCAAAGCUGAACUGCAAUAACCUCCAUUAAUUUAUACAUCAAUAACUUGACUGCAAGCUCACAGGAGCAGGGUUCUCAUCAGCUCUUGUUAAAGGGACACUCACAACGCCUAAAGCAUUUCUGCUUGCUGGA